UGGGGAAUCUUGCGCAAUGGGCGAAAGCUUGACGCAGCAACGCCGCGUGAGCGAAGAAGGCCUUCGGGUUGUAAAGCUCUGUCAGGAGGGACGAAGCCACUCGGGUGAAUAGCCCAGGGGGUGACGGUACCUCCAGAGGAAGCCCCGGCUAACUACGUGCCAGCAGCCGCGGUAAUACGUAGGGGGCGAGCGUUGUCCGGAAUCAUUGGGCGUAAAGCGCGUGUAGGCGGCUUGGCAAGUCCGGUGUGAAAGCUCGAGGCUCAACCUCGAGUCUGCACUGGAAACUGCCUUGCUAGAGUCCGGAAGAGGAGACUGGAAUUCCUGGUGUAGCGGUGAAAUGCGCAGAUAUCAGGAAGAACACCGGUGGCGAAGGCGGGUCUCUGGGACGGUACUGACGCUGAGACGCGAAAGCGUGGGGAGUAAACAG
rnacentral:rRNA from 1 species